UAUAUAUAUAUAUAUGUGUGUGUGUGUGUGUGUGUGUGUGUGUGUGUAUAUAUAUGUAUACACAUACACAUACAUACAGACAUACACACACACACACUUU